rnacentral:rRNA from 1 species
AUUGAACGCUGGCGGCAUGCUUUACACAUGCAAGUCGGACGGCAGCACAGAGAAGCUUGCUUCUUGGGUGGCGAGUGGCGAACGGGUGAGUAAUAUAUCGGAACGUACCGAGUAAUGGGGGAUAACUAAUCGAAAGAUUAGCUAAUACCGCAUAUUCUCUGAGGAGGAAAGCAGGGGACCUUCGGGCCUUGCGUUAUUCGAGCGGCCGAUAUCUGAUUAGCUAGUUGGUGGGGUAAAGGCCUACCAAGGCGACGAUCAGUAGCGGGUCUGAGAGGAUGAUCCGCCACACUGGGACUGAAACACGGCCCAGACUCCUACGGGAGGCAGCAGUGGGGAAUUUUGGACAAUGGGCGCAAGCCUGAUCCAGCCAUGCCGCGUGUCUGAAGAAGGCCUUCGGGUUGUAAAGGACUUUUGUCAGGGAAGAAAAGGCUGUUGCUAAUAUCGACAGCUGAUGACGGUACCUGAAGAAUAAGCACCGGCUAACUACGUG